rnacentral:rRNA from 1 species
UGGGGAAUCUUGGACAAUGGGGGCAACCCUGAUCCAGCCAUGCCGCGUGAGUGAUGAAGGCCUUAGGGUCGUAAAGCUCUUUCGCCUGUGAAGAUAAUGACGGUAGCAGGUAAAGAAACCCCGGCUAACUCCGUGCCAGCAGCCGCGGUAAUACGGAGGGGGUUAGCGUUGUUCGGAAUUACUGGGCGUAAAGCGCACGUAGGCGGACCAGAAAGUUGGGGGUGAAAUCCCGGGGGCUCAACCCCGGAACUGCCUCCAAAACUAUUGGUCUAGAGUUCGAGAGAGGUGAGUGGAAUUCCAAGUGUAGAGGUGAAAUUCGUAGAUAUUUGGAGGAACACCAGUGGCGAAGGCGGCUCACUGGCUCGAUACUGACGCUGAGGUGCGAAAAGUGUGGGGAGCAAACAGGAUUAGAUACCCUGGUAGUCCACACCGUAAAACGAUGAAUGCCAGUCGUCGGGUAGCAUGCUAUUCGGUGACACACCUAACGGAUUAAGCAUUCCGCCUGGGGAGUACGGUCGCAAGAUUAAAACUCAAAUGAAUUG